GUUUUGAUAGCUUAAAUUUUUAAAGCUUAAUAUUGAAGAUAUUAUGAUAGUAUAUUUAUUACUUUGAAAUA
rnacentral:tRNA from 2 species